GACGAACGCUGGCGGCGUGCUUAACACAUGCAAGUCGAACGGAAAGGCCCUGCUUUUGUGGGGUGCUCGAGUGGCGAACGGGUGAGUAACACGUGAGUAACCUGCCCUUGACUUUGGGAUAACUUCAGGAAACUGGGGCUAAUACCGGAUAGGAUCUCCUGCUGCAUGGUGGGGGUUGGAAAGUUUCGGCGGUUGGGGAUGGACUCGCGGCUUAUCAGCUUGUUGGUGGGGUAGUGGCUUACCAAGGAUUUGACGGGUAGCAGGCCUGAGAGGGUGAACGGCCACAAGGGGAAUGAGAGACGGCCGAGUGGCAUACGGGAGGCAGGAGUGGGGAAUAUUGCACAAUGGGCGGAAGAGUGAUGCAGGAACGCGGCGUGGGGGAUGACGGCAUUAGGGGUGUAAACAGGUUUAGCAUGUGACGAAGCGUGAGUGACGGAAAUGGGUAAAGAAGCACCGGCUAACUACG
rnacentral:rRNA from 1 species